GGGUCAGUAGGUUGGUCGUGCCACCGGUACGUACUGGUCUCGCUGAUUCCUCCUUCCUGAAGAACCGUAAUGCCAUUAAUUUGGUGUUGCGGGGAAACAGGACUGUUACUUUGAAAAAAUUAGAGUGUUUAAAGCAAGCUAACGCUUGAAUACAUUAGCAUGGAAUAAUGAAAUAGGACGAUCGAUCCUAUUUCGUCGGUUUCUAGGAUUGACGUA
rnacentral:rRNA from 1 species